GCCCGAUUAACUCAGCUGGUCAGAGUGUCGUACUAAUACAUUGAGCUUCCAUCUCUUUGUUCUGGUUAUGCGAAAGUUGACAGUUUAAACCUGUCAUUGGGCA